AUACGGGGGGGGCGAGCGUUGUCCGGAUUUACUGGGUUUAAAGGGUGCGUAGGCGGGCUAGUAAGUCAGUGGUGAAAGCCUCGAGCUUAACUCGAGAACUGCCAUUGAAACUAUUAGCCUUGAGUACAGUUGAGGUGGGCGGAAUGUGUCAUGUAGCGGUGAAAUGCAUAGAUAUGACACAGAACACCGAUUGCGAAGGCAGCUCGCUAAACUGUUACUGACGCUGAGGCACGAAAGCGUGGGGAGCGAACAGGAUUAGAAACCCCAGUAGUCC
rnacentral:rRNA from 1 species